GGGCCCGCACAAGCGGUGGAGUAUGUGGUUUAAUUCGAUGCAACGCGAAGAACCUUACCAGGGUUUGACAUCCUGCGAAUCUCUUGGAAACGAGAGAGUGCCUUCGGGAGCGCAGUGACAGGUGGUGCAUGGCUGUCGUCAGCUCGUGUCGUGAGAUGUUGGGUUAAGUCCCGCAACGAGCGCAACCCUUAUUUUUAGUUACCAAUUCGUUGGGAACUAUAAGGGGACUGCCGGUGAUAAACCGGAGGAAGGUGAGGACGACGUCAAGUCAUCAUGGCCCUUACGAGUAGGGCUACACACGUACUACAAUGCUACGGACAAAGGGCAGCAAACUCGCGAGAGCUAGCAAAUCCCAUAAACCGUGGCUCAGUUCAGAUCGUAGGCUGCAACUCGCCUACGUGAAGGAGGAAUC
rnacentral:rRNA from 1 species